AUGGGUAGACGCAUGUGUAGGUUAAAAUCCCUAAUUUUGUAUGGUUGUUUGGAAUGGUUAGAUUUUGAUGAUUAUCCUUGAUUGUGGUGAUUUAAUUGUGUUAAAACUGAAAAUUAACGUUAUAUAAUUAGGGUAUAUAUGAGUUAUAAUUUUCUGAACGUGUAGCUUUUUACGGAAUCGAAAUCGGAGGUCCGAAAGUCCUCCAACGAUGAAAAAUGCAGAAAAUUCUGCAUUCUGUUUUACAGUA
rnacentral:lncRNA from 1 species